AUGCCCCCACCCCCGCCAACCGCCUAUCGCCGCCGCCGCCAAUUUCCACUGCCCAAGCACGCCGCCGCCACUACCAUCCCCAAGUGCGCCGCCGCCGCUAGUUCCCCGCCUCUCAGAUCCUGGUCAAGUCCGCCGCCGCGAGCCGCCAACCAUCGCGCCGCCCACCGCCAUCCACACAGACACCACCACGCGCAACCCGCAUUCCCCGAACGUCGCGCAUCACUGUACUCCUCCAGCCAGCUUGUGAAGAGGCCGCCAGCGGCGAAACCCUCGUGGGUGCAGGUGCGGACGAGAUGGGCGGGGACAUGGCAGAGGAGCUCCGACUUGGUCUGUUUGGCUGCCGGCGGAAGGUUGUUGCCACGCACGCGUAUGAUUGGAGGCGGAAGAUUGGAGCUGUAA
rnacentral:rRNA from 1 species